rnacentral:rRNA from 1 species
GCGAACCCAGGUCAGGCGGGAU